rnacentral:rRNA from 1 species
AUUGAACGCUGGCGGCAGGCCUAACACAUGCAAGUCGAACGAGUGGCGGACGGGUGAGUAAUGUCUGGUAAACUGCCUGAUGGAGGGGGAUAACUACUGGAAACGGUAGCUAAUACCGCAUACCAUCGGAUGUGCCCAGAUGGGAUUAGCUAGUAGGUGGGGUAACGGCUCACCUAGGCGACGAUCCCUAGCUGGUCUGAGGGGGGGACCAGCAACACGGGAACGGGGACACGGCCCAGACGCCUACGGGAGGCAGCAGUGGGAAAUAUUGGACAAUGGGGGCAAGCCUGAUGCAGCAAUGCCGGGUGUAGGAAGAAGGCCUUCGGGUUGUAAAGUACUUUCAGCGGGGAGGCGUUACCCGCAGAAGAAGCAACGGCUAACUCCGUGCCAGCAGCCGCGGUAAUAC